CCCUUAGACGUUCUGGGCCGCACGCGCGCUACACUGACCAGUGCAACAAGCAUCCGUCCUUGGCCGACAGGCCCGGGCAAUCUUUGAACGCUGGUCGUGAUGGGGAUAGACUUUUGCAAUUUUUGAUCUUAAACGAGGAAUUCCUAGUAAACGCAAGUCAUCAGCUUGCAUUGAUUACGUCCCUGCCCUUUGUACACACCGCCCGUCGCACCUACCGAUUGAAUGGUCCGGUGAAAUCUCCGGACUGGCGUGAGUCGGAGCAAUCUGACAAACGCCGGAAAGUUGAUUAAACCUUACCAUUUAGAGGAAGGUGAAGUCGUAACA
rnacentral:rRNA from 1 species